CCUACGGGAGGCAGCAGUGGGGAAUAUUGGGCAAUGGAGGAAACUCUGACCCAGCAAUGCCGCGUGAAGGUCAGUGGCCUUUGGGCUGUAAAGUUCUUUAGUCCGGGAACAAUAAUAUUACGGUAUCUCCAGACUAAGCUCCCGCUAACUACGUCCUAGCAGCAGCGGUAAUACGGAGGAAGCAAGAGUUGGUCGGAGUGACUGUGCGUAAAGGGUGCGUAGGCGGUGAUGUAAGUCAGAGGUGAAAUACCCAGGCUUUACGGCGGGAGGUGCCUCUGAUACUGUAAGACUUGAGUGCGGAUGACGUUGGUGGAAUGUGUGGUGUAGCGGUGGAAUGCAUAGAUAUCACACAGAACACCGAAUGCGAAGGCAUCUAACGAAACUGCGAUUGACGCUGAGGCACGAAAGUGUGGGGAGCAAACAGGAUUAGAUACCCGUGUAGUC
rnacentral:rRNA from 1 species